AUUAUGUGCAAGCAACCUUGAAAAGAAAUGUGAAAACCCUCAGUCCAAAGACAUGACACUCCUCCUGAGGUACAUAUCAGGGGCAGGGUGGGACAGUCAUCCACAACAUCUUCAUAAUCCAAAGGGCAUGUUUGAAAAAGCAGGAACAGUGGCCCAAAGGCCACCCUGAUACCUGUCCCCUUUAUCCCACCGUCCCACCGGACAACCUAAAAUAGCAGGAAGAAAACAAUAUGAAACACAGAAAAAGAGGGAAGCAGCAGGAUGACCACUGCAAGAUCAUAAUGAACUAGUGUACACAUAGUCAACACAUGAUUUUUUAGACAAAUAGUAGAAAAGUAGCACAACUUUCAGAAACGAGAAAAAAGUAACUUCCACAAUAUUCGUUCACUUUAUCUCAGUGCACUCAGCUGAAAGUUAACAGUGUGACCCCCAAACAAAAAUAUUUAAGAAAUCCGGUCGCAGUAGCCGGUCGCAUUAGCCAGUCACAUUAGCCGGUCGCAUUAGCAGGUCACAUUAGCCGGUCGCAUUAGCAGGUCGAUGGCACAAAGUGUCGGACGGAGGUCAACCAGAAAGGGGGCCGUAUUAACCCGCUGAAACAACGCAUAUUGCCACCCAGUGUUGAGGAAGAGGACACGUUCCCAUCAGUUAUUCGAUUUCUCAGUUACAUGUAAACUGGGACAAGGACAGAAACGCACUGAAUGACAUGUAACUGAUAGCAUGAUGUUAAGGCUAAGGCAACUGGUUGCUAACGAGCAUUUUAUUGAGUUCACACAGACGUCCAAAUCAAUAGAUGAUAAAGCAAAUAUAUUACAUAUAGCGUCUACAUCCUUGCCAGUUGAGGUUUAACACGCAAGGAGCUUCAGCGCUUUUUGGGAUUUGUAAAACUUUGACACUUCAUCCAGACCUACAGGUCAGUGGUAUCUUCCCUAACCUACCUCACCACCAAGAAUGUGUCCUUUCGGGGGUCCCCUGCAACUGAAGAAGGGUUUUGUGUGUUAAAGGCAUGUUUCGCCUCUGCUCCCAUUCUCAUCUUUCCAGAUCCUGAUCCUUGCUGAGGAUCUGGAGGUUCACCUGUGUCCUUUCUCCUCAUGGAAAUUGUCCCCAGCAGAGAGCAAUUUUGACAUUGGGAACCAGGAACUGUUGGCAGUGAAGCUCGCACUGGAGAAAUGGAGACACUGGUUAGAGGGGACAGAGCAGCCAUUCAUUGUCUGGAAAUCUGGACCUUGAAUGGUCAGCACAGAGCCCUGAUCUCAUCCCUACUGUGGCAGGUUGCGUUUCUCCUCCUUUCCAGCCCGCUUAAUUGGUAGCAGGCGGUGCGCAAUUACUCCUCGGCGUCUUGAUUACAGGGCGGUGCCGUGCACCUUUAUACCAAGUUGGCCGGCUGCUUCUCUGAUCACACUCUCUGACUGUCUUCAGAGCCUGAUGUCUGGUCCUUUGCUGCAGUUUGGCGUGGCUAUGCGGCGAUUUGACUACAAGUACAAGGCACUGCUAUUCUCCGGCAGUUUUGCUACGAGCGAAGUUCGCUUCAGGCCUGAGCUUCACCAAGUCUGUGAGCUGGCAAAGUGCGCAGCGGCCAUAUGUCUCUCCCCUCUCAUCCACACUGAGUGACAGCUGUGCUCGCUUGGUGGUAUGUAUGCCUGUGAUGCUAUAAUUCAUUUUAGCGCACUUACAAUUUGAUAACCGUUUUAUUGUAUGUUAUAGGGUCUAAAGGCCAGGCGGCGCACCAAGCACGGCAUUUGGUCCUCAACCUCUGGCCUCUGGCACGUGCUGCUGUUCUGUCUCUACUGUGAAUCUUUAUAUAUUGUAUGACUCUACUGCUCCAGGUCCAUCUGGCCAGAGCAGUAUCGUGCAGUUGUGCACAAAAACUUCUCUCUGGAGUCUUGCGUAUGGUGCUGUUUUUAUAUUUUGCUGACCAUAUGUCUACCUGUGCUCAUACCUGAGUGUGAAUUUAUCCUGUUGUGUUACAUUUAUUUUCAGUUAUCCCUAACUGUGUUUCUUGUUUGUUUGGUUUGUUUGUUUAUUUCCUUUGGAGCAUUUAGGCUUACACCUCAUGGUGAAUAGUCUGUUGGUUUUACAGAUUUAAUUUGACUGUUUAUUGUGAUUGGGUGGGAUUUCAUUUUACUUUUGGGGAUGUAUUUUUGAUUUUGUUUCUGUUGUAACACUCUGGUCUGUGUACUGACUGUGUUUCCUCUGUUGGGCAGUGGCAGUGGACUCCCUGGUGGCGGUGUCCCCUCACUCAUCCCUUUUGUUAAUACAUUUUUGUAUGAGUUUGAUGUGUCUCUGUCCGUUCUUAACCGAACCUGUGUGAACUCUGGUGUGUGUAAAGGGUAAAAUUUCCUGGGGGAAUUUCGCCCCUAGGUGGCGUUGUCGUCAACAUUUAAUAAUUACUGUCUGAGUUCCACUCGUCACACUACCAGGAAGUGGACUGAGGAUAUUGGUUUCUGCUAAAACAUGUCUAACAUGGAUAAAGAAGUUAUGAUAUAGAUAUACAUAUAUAACACAGACACAAAAAGCUUUGUAUUUCUGCCAACUCACUCUUUUUGUGACUCUUGUAAUACUUAAAUAAUCUUGAGUGAACAUACUCCAUGACGCAUUGCUUUGCCCCCAGUCAGUGUUAAAGUUUGUGUAAAUCAUUGUCAACCUGCGAUGUAAACUGCAAAUGUAUUGGUUGUGGGAGGUAUAAAACUAAAAGGCAGUCAUUUUAGUUUUAAACAGAGAAUAAAUUAUCCUUUUUUCCUGAUUCUUAUCCACUGUGUUUCUUAUCUACAUUUGAUGCAUUUCCCAUCAGGUGUCAUUAUGAGUAAUGGGAGCAUAUGGAAGCAGCAGAGGCGUUUUGCACUUUCAACACUCAGAUAUUUUGGAUUUGGCGGAAG